UUUAAGUUCUCCCUUAGCCCUUCCACCCAGAACUAAACCAACCAAACUCCUAUGAAAGCGCUAAGAGUUAAUCAAAGGAGGUACAGCCCCUUUGACACAGGACACAACCUCCACCAGCGGAUAACACAUUACCACUACACCCGUGGGCCCUAAAGCAGCCACCCAAAAAGAGUGCGUCAAAGCUCCAAUACCCCAAAAAAUCCAAAGACAAUACGACUCCCUGCACCCCUAGCAAGCCAACCUAUGCCUAUAGAUGAACAAAUGCUAAAACGAGUAACCAGGACACUACACCCUCCCCUAAGCGCUAAUCUAUACACCAUUAACAGCACGACCACAAUAAACAACCCCCCACCCAGCCUACCAUUGGACUCACCCUGUUAACCCAACCCAGGAGCGCACAACUAGGAAGAUUAAAAUCUGCAAAAGGAACUCGGCAAAUCUAAGGCCCGACUGUUUACCAAAAACAUAGCCUUCAGCCCAACAAGUAUUGAAGGUGAUGCCUGCCCAGUGACCCUACGUUCAACGGCCGCGGUAUUCUAACCGUGCAAAGGUAGCGCAAUCAAUUGUCCCAUAAAUCGAGACCUGUAUGAAUGGCUAAACGAGGUCUUAACUGUCUCCUGCAGAUAAUCAGUGAAACUGAUCUCCCUGUGCAAAAGCAGGAAUAAGCACAUAAGACGAGAAGACCCUGUGGAACUUCAAAAUCAAUAGCCACCACACACCUUAACACCAAACCUACUAGGCCCACUCAACCCAAACCCCCUGGCUAAUAUUUUUAGGUUGGGGCGACCCUGGAGAAAAACAAAUCCUCCAAUAAGCACGGGCCAAAAUCCCUAACUAAGAGCAACCCCUCAACGUGCUAACAGCACAUAGACCCAAUAAAAUUGAUCAACGAACCAAGCUACCCCAGGGAUAACAGCGCAAUCUCCCCCAAGAGCCCCUAUCGACGAGGAGGUUUACGACCUCGAUGUUGGAUCAGGACAUCCUAGUGGUGCAACCGCUACUAAGGGUUCGUUUGUUCAACGAUUAACAGUCCUACGUGAUCUGAGUUCAAACCGGA
rnacentral:rRNA from 1 species